CUGGCCUGCAUGGGAAAUCAUGCUCUGGAACCUGCAGAGACCAAGCAGGAUGCAUCCCUGAGGAUGGCAGAGUCCCUGGCACAUGUGUGGAGGUAUUUCCAUGAGCUCAGUCACAGCUCCCCCUUCGUGAGGGCAGGGCCAGUGGAUUGCUGCCUUUUUGGAUGGCCUCCAAUGACACAGCAAACCAGAGGAAAGCCACGCUGCUGUCAGACCACGCUGUGACAGGAGCAGGCAGGGACCAGGGCUCUGCCUCCCCCCGUGUCGCUCUGCACGUGCCCUGCCUGCCCCUACAGAGCUUCUCUCUCUGAGGCUGCGUUUGGUGACUGGCCCAGGUAACAGCUCUACUGUCGCCCUGAAGCCUUCUGGUAAUGUUUUCAUAGUUUUAGUUACUUUCCCAUGGAAGUUCGAUAAACGUAAGUUGUUUACCAAAUUCCUUCUAAGAAGCAUCUUUUGAUGGAUGUUUCGCAUGACCAGUGUGCUUGGGAAGAUGGUAACUUAAUUAUCCAAUCCCUGGUCAUUGUCAAGAAUCUAUAAAUACUGGAGUCAGAGAAUAAAGGUUACUUCAUUCCUGUUCUAACA